GUGGGGAAUAUUGCACAAUGGAGGAAACUCUGAUGCAGCAAUGUCGCGUGAGUGAAGAAGGCCCUUGGGUCGUAAAGCUCUUUUAUGGGGGAAGAUGAUGACGGUACCCCAAGAAUAAGCACCGGCUAACUAUGUGCCAGCAGCCGCGGUAAUACAUAGGGUGCGAGCGUUGUUCGGAAUUACUGGGCGUAAAGGGCGCGCAGGCGGAAUAGUAAGUCGGAGGUGAAAGCCCGGGGCUCAACCCCGGAGGGUCUUUCGAAACUACUAAUCUAGAGAGGGUCAGGGGCCGGCAGAAUUCCUGGUGUAGAGGUGAAAUUCGUAGAUAUCAGGAGGAAUACCGGUGGCGAAGGCGGCCGGCUAGGGCCACUCUGACGCUGAGGCGCGAAAGCGUGGGGAGCAAACAGGAUUAGAUAC
rnacentral:rRNA from 1 species